rnacentral:lncRNA from 1 species
CUGAGGAAUCGUCUUCGCCCGGAAGUGGUGAUGAACAAGCUUCAUUUCCACCACCACCAACACAACCUCCUAUGAAGCUUAUGAAGAAUGAUACCGAACUUGCGGAGGAUUCAGCUUCGCCCGGAAGUGGUGAUGAACAAGCUUCUUUUCUACCACCACCAACACAACCUCCUCCCAACCUUGACGGAUUUAUGAGAUUCGUUAGAGAUACAAUGUAAAUUAUGAUGUAACUUGUACAGUGGCACAUCUUCUUUUAGUUUUUUCCCUUUUAAUGGUGGUAUAAGUACCUUGUUGUGCUCAUUCCAUUGGGGGAAGGAAGACU